rnacentral:lncRNA from 8 species
AUGUGUUCGCUCCCAGCUGCGUUUUGGUCCGCUUCCUCGUCACCAGGCGACGAACGUUACAGAACACCCCACCUAACCAGGACCAAGCAGCGGGAGGAAAAGGAGCGCGAGAGAUGGGCUCGCGAGGGGAAGGAGUUCUGGACCUGGGAGGAGAUCAUGUCGGGGAAAGGACCCUGGCGGAAGGAUUCCCAGGUCGAGGAGGUAAAGCCAGCCGGUAGACGGAGUCGCAGGCGGCGGUCGAGGAGGCCCGGAAAACACCCCCAAGAAUUUUUUUUGGGGGGGCUAAUGGGGUGGUCCGGAAGGGCAGAGGAAGAGCCCAGACCACUGCUCUCGUGGGGGAUGACGGCGGAGGAAGAGACGAAGAUGAUGAGGCAGUUGAUUGAGGACCUGCAGAGGGAAGAUCUGGAGGAGGAACCAUGGUAUGCGGAGUUGCGCGCUGUGUCGCCAGUGCGCCCGCACAGCCCGGUGCGUCCGGUGGACAUGCCCAGCACAUGCCGUGCUAGGAUGGGCAUCCAGCCAGGACGAGUGGCUAAACCGGCUCCACGCUUCAGGUCACCAGUACGUGUUCACAGUCCUGUCUGGCCCGUCCCUGCUCCCCGCACCAAGUCAGUGGUGCGUGUCCCCAGUCCUGUCCCGCCCGUCCCUGCUCCCCGCACCAGGUUAGUGGUGCGUGUCCCCAGUCCUGUCCGGCCCGUUCCUGCUCCCCGCACCAGGUUAGUGGUGCGUGUCCCCAGUCCUGUCCGGCCCGUCCCUGCUCCCCGCACCAGGUUAGUGGUGCGUGUCCCUAGUCCUGUCCGGCCCGUCCCUGUUCCCCGCACCAGGUUAGUGGUGCGUGUCCCCAGUCCUGUCCGGCCCGUUCCUGCUCCCCGCACCAAGUUAGUGGUGCGUGUCCCCAGUCCUGUCCGGCCCGUCCCUGCUCCCCGCACCAAGUCAGUGGUGCGUGUCCCCAGUCCUGUCCGGCCCGUCCCUGCUCCCCGCACCAGGUUAGUGGUGCGUGUCCCCAGUCCUGUCCGGCCCGUUCCUGCUCCCCGCACCAGGUUAGUGGUGCGUGUCCCCAGUCCUGUCCGGCCCGUCCCUGCUCCCCGCACCAGGUUAGUGGUGCGUGUCCCCAGUCCUGUCCGGCCCGUCCCUGUUCCCCGCACCAGGUUGGUGGUGCGUGUCCCCAGUCCGGCCCGGCACGUUCCUGCUCCCCGCACCAAGUCAGUGGUGCGUUUCCCCAGUCCUGUCCGGCCCGUCCCUGCUCCCCGCACCAAGUCAGUGGUGCGUGUCCCCAGUCCUGUCCGGCCCGUCCCUGCUCCCCGCACCAGGUUAGUGGUGCGUGUCCCCAAUCCUGUUCCGGUCGACGGCUCCGCUCCGGAGCCUGAGCAUGCCGCUCCACAGUGGUCCAGUCCGGGCCAGAGGGGUAGGGUUAAGGUGAAGGCGGGGGAGAGAACACGCCCGGGGCCAGAGCCUCCACCGAGGGUGAGGCGCCCACCCGGGUCCCCCCCCCUAAUAGACUUAAGUUUGGUGCGCCGGGAGUACGCACCGUUGGGAGGGGGGUUCUGUCACGCCCUGACCAGGUGA